rnacentral:rRNA from 1 species
UACGUAGGUGGCAAGCGUUGUCCGGAAUUAUUGGGCGUAAAGCGCGCGCAGGUGGUUUCUUAAGUCUGAUGUGAAAGCCCACGGCUCAACCGUGGAGGAUCAUUGGAAACUGGGGAACUUGAGUGCAGGAGAGAAGAGUGGAAUUCCACGUGUAGCGGUGAAAUGCGUAGAGAUGUGGAGGAACACCAGUGGCGAAGGCGGUUACCUGGAGCUUUGCUGACGCUGAUGCGCGAAAGCGUGGGGAGCGAUCCGG